ACGUUCGCAGCGGAGCUGCUGCGGGUCUCCCUUCUCUCCUA
rnacentral:miRNA from 1 species